AGGUUUAAGGUUUUUGGCGUUAGAGUUAAAAUCAGUGUCCAAAACCUUUGUAGGAACUAUUUUCCAACCUUUGGGAAUUAGUUGGACAAAAAAAAAAAAGAUAAAUGAAAAAAAAAUAUUUGGGGUGUUCGGGCUUCCUGAAGGAAAUACCCGGGUAUUAGGUUUUGGGGCUAGGGUUAGGUUUAAGGUUUUUGGCGUUAGGGUUAAAAUCACUGUCCAAUAUUUUUUAAGGAACAUGUUUCAGACCUUUUGGGAGUUAGUUAGACAAAAAAAAAAGAAAAAGAAAAAAAAUAUUUGGGGUGUUCGGGCUUCCUGAAGGUAAUACCCGGGUAAGAGGUUAUGGGGUUAGGGUAAGGUUUAAGGUUUU